CUGGCUCAGGACGAACGCUGGCGGCGUGCCUAAUACAUGCAAGUCGAACGGUCUUUUCUAUGGAAGCUUGCUUCCACUGAGAAGAUAGUGGCGAACGGGUGAGUAACACGUGGGUAACCUGCCCAUAAGAGGGGGGAUAACAUCCGGAAACGGGUGCUAAUACCGCAUAGUUUUCUUGAUCGCAUGAUUGAGAAAGGAAAGACGGCCUUUGUGCUGUCGCUUAUGGAUGGACCCGCGGCGUAUUAGUUAGUUGGUGAGGUAACGGCUCACCAAGACGAUGAUACGUAGCCGACCUGAGAGGGUGAUCGGCCACAUUGGGACUGAGACACGGCCCAAACUCCUACGGGAGGCAGCAGUAGGGAAUCUUCCGCAAUGGACGAAAGUCUGACGGAGCAACGCCGCGUGAGUGAAGAAAGGUUUUCGGAUCGUAAAACUCUGUUGUCAGAGAAGAACAAGUUGGAGAGUAACUGCUCCAGCCUUGACGGUAUCUGACCAGAAAGCCACGGCUAACUACGUGCCAGCCGCUGC
rnacentral:rRNA from 1 species